CGAGCACGCGCGUGUGGCAUAUCAAUAAGCGGAGGAAAAGAAACUAACAAGGAUUCCCUUAGUAACGGCGAGUGAAGCGGGAAGAGCUCAAAUUUGAAAUCUUCAAGGUUCUACCUUGACGAAUUGUAGUUUAUAAGAAGUGUUUUCUGUUAGUGGAGUGGCAAAAGUUCUUUGGAAUAGGACAUCAUAGAGGGUGAGAAUCCCGUAUUUGGUCAUUCCUCCUAGCGUUGUGAUACACUUUCAACGAGUCGGAUUGUUUGGGAAUGCAGUCCAAAAUGGGUGGUAAAUUUCAUCUAAAGCUAAAUAUUGGCGAGAGACCGAUAGCGAACAAGUACCGUGAGGGAAAGAUGAAAAGAACUUUGAAAAGAGAGUUAAACAGUACGUGAAAUUGUCAAAAGGGAAGCGUUUGACACCAGUGUUGUUUUUCCGAAAAUCAAUUACGAAUGUUUUAGUUUUUGAGGAGUUAUGACUUCAUCGGCUUGCUCCUUUCUUUAUGAAACUUUCUUAAUGCACUUUUCGGUUAACAAGUCAACAUCAAUUUCUUUUGUUGUAAAAGGGUAUGAGGAAGGUGGCUUUCUUUUCGGAGAAAGUGUUUAUAGCCUUGUGCCUCUGCAAUCGGAGAGAUUGAGGUCUGCAGCGUAGAUCCCUCGGGGUUAGAUACGUUUGUGCUAAGUUAUAGCCUUUUCAUAGACAACUUGUUGACUAUGUUUCAGUCUUGUAGCUUACUCGCUGACGCUAUUUUACCUACGCUUAGGAUGUUGAUGUGAUACUGCGAGCA
rnacentral:rRNA from 1 species